rnacentral:rRNA from 1 species
UUAAAGAGUUCUAUAACUCCCAAACCCAUGUGAACAUACCUAGCGUUGCCUCGGCAGGUCGCACCUACCUUGUAGCACCCUACCCUGUAGGGCCUACCCGGGAGGUGCGGGUAAGCCUGCCGGCGGCCCACCAAACUCUGUUUGAUAUUGAAUUCUGAACCUAUAACUAAAUAAGUUAAAACUUUCAACAACGGAUCUCUUGGUUCUGGCAUCGAUGAAGAACGCAGCGAAAUGCGAUAAGUAAUGUGAAUUGCAGAAUUCAGUGAAUCAUCGAAUCUUUGAACGCAUAUUGCGCCCAUUAGUAUUCUAGUGGGCAGGACCGUUCGAGCGUCAUUUCAACCCUUAAGCCUUCGUUGCUUAGUGUUGGGAGCCUACGGCAACGUAGCUCCUCAAAGUUAGUGGCGGAGUUAGUUCACACUCUAGACGUAGUAAUUUUUUAUCUCGCCUAUUAGUUGGACUAAUCCCCUGCCGUAAAACCCCCAAUUUAUCAAGGUUGACCUCGAAUCGGUUCAGACAAACUCGCUAAAUUGAAGCAUCUUAGUCAGCGAA